ACUCCUACGGGAGGCAGCAGUGGGGAAUAUUGGACAAUGGGGGCAACCCUGAUCCAGCCAUGCCGCGUGAGUGAUGAAGGCCUUAGGGUUGUAAAGCUCUUUUAUCCGGGACGAUAAUGACGGUACCGGAGGAAUAAGCCCCGGCUAACUUCGUGCCAGCAGCCGCGGUAAUACGAAGGGGGCUAGCGUUGCUCGGAAUCACUGGGCGUAAAGGGCGCGUAGGCGGCGUUUUAAGUUGGGGGUGAAAGCCUGUGGCUCAACCACAGAAUUGCCUUCGAUACUGGGACGCUUGAGUGUGGUAGAGGUUGGUGGAACUGCGAGUGUAGAGGUGAAAUUCGUAGAUAUUCGCAAGAACACCGGUGGCGAAGGCGGCCAACUGGACCAUCACUGACGCUGAGGCGCGAAAGCGUGGGGAGCAAACAGGAUUAGAUACCCUGGUAGGAUAGCG
rnacentral:rRNA from 1 species